GUGCAGCAGUCGAGAAUUUUCACAAUGGGGGAAACCCUGAUGGAGCGACGCCGCGUGGAGGAUGAAGGCCCUCGGGUCGUAAACUCCUGUCAUGCGGGAACAAGAAAGUGAUAGUACCGCGAGAGGAAGAGACGGCUAACUCUGUGCCAGCAGCCGCGGUAAUACAGAGGUCUCAAGCGUUAUUCGGAUUCAUUGGGCGUAAAGGGUGCGUAGGUGGCGAUGUAAGUCUGGUGUGAAAUCUCGGGGCUUAACCCGAAACUGCAUUGGAUACUGCGUUGCUUGAGGAUUGUAGAGGAGAGUGGAAUUCACGGUGUAGCAGUGAAAUGCGUAGAUAUCGUGAGGAAGACCAGUUGCGAAGGCGACUCUCUGGGCAAUUCCUGACACUGAGGCACGAAGGCCAGGGGAGCAAACGGGAUUAGAUACCGGGUAGU
rnacentral:rRNA from 1 species